GAUGAACGCUGCCUGCGUGCCUAAUACAUGCAAGUCGAGCGAACGGACGAGAAGCUUGCUUCUCUGAUGUUAGCGGCGGACGGGUGAGUAACACGUGGAUAACCUACCUAUAAGACUGGGAUAACUUCGGGAAACCGGAGCUAAUACCGGAUAAUAUUUUGAACCGCAUGGUUCAAAAGUGAAAGACGGUCUUGCUGUCACUUAUAGAUGGAUCCGCGCUGCAUUAGCUAGUUGGUAAGGUAACGGCUUACCAAGGCAACGAUGCAUAGCCGACCUGAGAGGGUGAUCGGCCACACUGGAACUGAGACACGGUCCAGACUCCUACGGGAGGCAGCAGUAGGGAAUCUUCCGCAAUGGGCGAAAGCCUGACGGAGCAACGCCGCGUGAGUGAUGAAGGUCUUCGGAUCGUAAAACUCUGUUAUUAGGGAAGAACAUAUGUGUAAGUAACUGUGCACAUCUUGACGGUACCUAAUCAGAAAGCCACGGCUAACUACGUGCCAGCAGCCGCGGUAAUACGUAGGUGGCAAGCGUUAUCCGGAAUUAUUGGGCGUAAAGCGCGCGUAGGCGGUUUUUUAAGUCUGAUGUGAAAGCCCACGGCUCAACCGUGGAGGGUCAUUGGAAACUGGAAAACUUGAGUGCAGAAGAGGAAAGUGGAAUUCCAUGUGUAGCGGUGAAAUGCGCAGAGAUGUGGAGGAACACCAGUGGCGAAGGCGACUUUCUGGUCUGUAACUGACGCUGAUGUGCGAAAGCGUGGGGAUCAAACAGGAUUAGAUACCCUGGUAGUCCACGCCGUAAACGAUGAGUGCUAAGUGUUAGGGGGUUUCCGCCCCUUAGUGCUGCAGCUAACGCAUUAAGCACUCCGCCUGGGGAGUACGACCGCAAGGUUGAAACUCAAAGGAAUUGACGGGGACCCGCACAAGCGGUGGAGCAUGUGGUUUAAUUCGAAGCAACGCGAAGAACCUUACCAAAUCUUGACAUCCUUUGACAACUCUAGAGAUAGAGCCUUCCCCUUCGGGGGACAAAGUGACAGGUGGUGCAUGGUUGUCGUCAGCUCGUGUCGUGAGAUGUUGGGUUAAGUCCCGCAACGAGCGCAACCCUUAAGCUUAGUUGCCAUCAUUAAGUUGGGCACUCUAAGUUGACUGCCGGUGACAAACCGGAGGAAGGUGGGGAUGACGUCAAAUCAUCAUGCCCCUUAUGAUUUGGGCUACACACGUGCUACAAUGGACAAUACAAAGGGCAGCGAAACCGCGAGGUCAAGCAAAUCCCAUAAAGUUGUUCUCAGUUCGGAUUGUAGUCUGCAACUCGACUACAUGAAGCUGGAAUCGCUAGUAAUCGUAGAUCAGCAUGCUACGGUGAAUACGUUCCCGGGUCU
rnacentral:rRNA from 1 species